AUACGUUCUAAACUACUGCAAACCCAAACCUAAACCAGUAACCUCGAUAGAAACCAUUCCUCCUCAACAAACCCCAUUCCAGAAGGCUCCAAAGAAGAACCCUCCUCAUUUACAACUUCUCUCACCGUCUCCUCCAACUCCUCUCCGAGAAAUUCUGAACCAUCAGACCUCUAAAAGCCCCAAACCAUAACCUUCAAAAUCAGAAACUCCCCAAUGUUGGUGAAGAAGGAACCAUCCUUCAAAAGUUCAUAAAUUUAAGGUUAGCCAACAUUUUUCACUAUUUUAAACUUUUUUAUGGUUUUUAUUCGAUUUUUGUGUUGAAAUGUUUAGUUUUUUUGUGUAUUGUAACAUGUGUUUUUGUGUUUUUAAGUGAUUUAAAUAUAUAAUUUGAAAUGUUUAUUUUCCUAAAAUCAAGUUGUGAUGAUUAAAUUUUUAGGGUAAUACAUUUCUUAAAAUAAAAAAUACUGCUGAUUUGUUAAAUUGGGAGCACCUUUUCAUUCAUUAAGCUCUUUAAAAGUAGCAAGGAUAUGUCAUGGAGUGAAUUGAGUUUAAGUUGUUAGUCUUUCUAAUCAAUUAGCAGAACAAGGUUUGAUGGCAAAUUUUGUGAGAGGAAAAUAGAUUACUGGGACAACAUUUGUGUGUUUACCAUUAGGAAAUAGUUUUUUAAUUCCAUUCUUAAAUAAAUUUGACACAAGAUCAUUUCUUUCACUUUUCAGAGUGGUCUCUCAUGGUCUUCUAACAUAAAAACACCUUUUGAAACGUCUAGUUGCGUACUCAAAUGCUUUGCAAGUAACGCUGAAUUUUGAAGUUUGAACUACACAUGCUAGCUAGCCAUAUUUUCUUUUACAUAGAGAAGUGAGUAUUUAGAAAAUAGGAAUCUGUUUUCUAUAGCUGAAGGAAAUUCUGGUCAUUAACUAAAAAUUAAGCCUUUGCAACCCAGUAUCUGAUUCUUUAGUCAAUUAUGGCACCAAUGAUAUAACGUAUACUUUAAUUUCAAUAGAACUCUCUUUUCUAGUUUGGCUGAUUUCCAACAAAACAUGUUUCAUCUAUCUUGUUAUACUGGUAAAUCAAAUUUCCUCUACAAGUUUUGUUAUGCUGGGUAUGCAACCUCUCUAUAAAUCGGAGUCAUCUGCCACUUCCAGCUUAAAGAUUAUCGUGUUCUAAAAUUGACGUUAUAUUAUAUGUUUAAUUAAUAAAAUAAAGCGUAAUCACAAAGAGACAACAUGUAGAAGAAAACUAACUUAGGAGAAUGAUCUGUGUACAGAGCAUUCUCCUAUAGGGGUUUUACUGACCCCUCACUGUAGGGGUCGGUCCCACAUGAAAAUAAAUAAAUAAAUAAAUUUGCGCCAGGGCCCACACUUAGUGUUGUCUGUCUAGCAGGGGGUACGCCCAGCACGGUUCAACACUAACUUAUCUCUUAGAUCUAUUUUAAGUGUUUGAAUUGUGCUCGUCACUUUUCUGAAUUCUGACACUUUUUAUAUUUUUUGUCACUUUUUUGAAGAGUUAAAUAAAUGACAAGACAAAAAUGGCAAAGGCAAAACAAUCACUAUACUAAUUGAAGAAGCAUUAGAAGAUUCAGACUAUGGUGAUGAUGAGUUUGGGAGUUCUUAUAGUGGCAAUGGUGCAAUGUCUUAAUGGACUGAUCAAAGCACGAAUACGAAGUUUAUUUUUUGUAACUUUUUUUUUUUAAUGUGUCACUUUUUGAGUUUGUCAUUUUGUUUAGAAUUUGGUUACUUUUUGAGUGUUUGUCACUUUUUUAAUCUGUAUAACUUUUUAAUUUGUGUCACUUUUUUUUGAAUUCUUCACUUUUUGUAUAAAAUUUCUGUCACUUUUUUUGAACUUUUGUCGCUUUUCUAGUAUUUAUCACUUUUUUUUUGUCACAUUUUUUAGUGUUUAUUACUUUUUUUAGUCACCUUCUUGAUUUUUAUUACUUUUCUUAGUGAUAAACAUCACCCUUUAAUAAAACUGAUAUUGUAUGUUAUUUUUUAAUAAAAAAAGUGAUAUUGAGUCACUUUUUUAAAAAAAGUGUCAAUUUUUAUUUUAAAAAAAAAGUGACAUUGUGACAUUUUUUUAUAUAACAUAGUAUUUUUUACUUUUAGAAAACUUUUCACAUGAUUUUUUAAAAGACCUUUAAUUUUAAGGGUAUUUUUGCAGGUUGCCCUUUUAAUUACUGUACAUUUGGCCCAUGAUAGGCCGGCGUAACCCGACGAGUUUAAAGAAAAUCCCUGGCCCAUUUGUUGUUUAAAACCGAACGGGUCAACUAAGUUCAAUAGAAUUCCAAAUUUUCUAGAUUUCUCACACACGCUUAAAAAUCCUUCUCUGCCGUCCCUUGCAAUCCCAUCAUAGGAAUCCAAAAUCUUCCAUUCCAAAUUGUGUUAGAUGGAAUAACAUGUAAGUCUGAAAUUUAAGUUCUAUUUUGUGACUUUUUGUGUAAUGAACUCAUUAUAUAUCAAGAAAAUGAUGUUUCUUUGACACCAACGUUGCUGGCUCUGUUGAUAGAUAUAUGGGUUUUGAUUUCCAAUUGGUUUCCUGUUGGUUAAGCUUCUUUCCCUUCCCCAGAAUCCAAAAUCAAUAUCUGCCCAAACUCAUAUUUCCCUUUAAUUUCAUGUUUGUUUCAAAUCCCUUUUUCCUUCCAAUUUUAGUGCAUAAUUAGUUUUAUUGGUCAAUUGAAUCACCACAUCCUUUUGCAGUUUGCUUUCAUUUAUGUAUAGACUAAGUUUUUUAAGUCCAACAAUUUGCAUACGAAUUUUUGCUUAUCCAAAUUUGAUUGGCUUUUUUGUCAAUUUAAUACCUAUAGUACCUAAUGUCAAUUUAAAAAUGUCUGCCU
rnacentral:lncRNA from 1 species